AGACCCGAAACCCGGUGAUCUAGCCAUGGGCAGGUUGAAGGUUGGGUAACACUAACUGGAGGACCGAACCGACUAAUGUUGAAAAAUUAGCGGAUGACCUGUGGCUGGGGGUGAAAGGCCAAUCAAACCGGGAGAUAGCUGGUUCUCCCCGAAAGCUAUUUAGGUAGCGCCUCGUGAAUUCAUCUCCGGGGGUAGAGCACUGUUUCGGCUAGGGGGCCAUCCCGGCUUACCAACCCGAUGCAAACUGCGAAUACCGGAGAAUGUUAUCACGGGAGACACACGGCGGGUGCUAACGUCCGUCGUGAAGAGGGAAACAACCCAGACCGCCAGCUAAGGUCCCAAAGUCAUGGUUAAGUGGGAAACGAUGUGGGAAGGCCCAGACAGCCAGGAUGUUGGCUUAGAAGCAGCCAUCAUUUAAAGAAAGCGUAAUAGCUCACUGGUCGAGUCGGCCUGCGCGGAAGAUGUAACGGGGCUAAACCAUGCACCGAAGCUGCGGCAGCGACACUCAGGUGUUGUUGGGUAGGGGAGCGUUCUGUAAGCCUGUGAAGGUGUGUCGUGAGGCAUGCUGGAGGUAUCAGAAGUGCGAAUGCUGACAUAAGUAACGAUAAAGCGGGUGAAAAGCCCGCUCGCCGGAAGACCAAGGGUUCCUGUCCAACGUUAAUCGGGGCAGGGUGAGUCGACCCCUAAGGCGAGGCCGAAAGGCGUAGUCGAUGGGAAACGGGUUAAUAUUCCCGUACUUGGUGUUACUGCGAAGGGGGGACGGAGAAGGCUAUGUUGGCCGGGCGACGGUUGUCCCGGUUUAAGCGUGUAGGUGUGUGUUCCAGGUAAAUCCGGUUCACUUUAACACUGAGGCGUGA
rnacentral:rRNA from 1 species